rnacentral:rRNA from 1 species
AACGAACGCUGGCGGCGUGCUUAACACAUGCAAGUCGAACGAGAAAGGGGCUUCGGCUCCGAGUAGAGUGGCGCACGGGUGAGUAACACGUGGGUAACCUGCCUCUAAGAUUGGGAUAACUCGUCGAAAGAUGAGCUAAUACCGGAUAAGACCACAGUUCCUGCGGGAACAGGGGUCAAAGGUAGCCUCUGCUUGCAAGCUAUCACUUAGAGAUGGGCCUGCGCACCAUUAGCUAGUUGGUAGGGUAACGGCCUACCAAGGCAAAGAUGGUUAGCUGGUCUGAGAGGAUGAUCAGCCACACUGGAACUGAGACACGGUCCAGACUCCUACGGGAGGCAGCAGUGGGGAAUAUUGCGCAAUGGGCGAAAGCUUGACGCAGCAACGCCGCGUGAGUGAUGAAGGCCUUCGGGUCGUACAGCUCUGUCGGGAGGAACGAAUGCUCCUGAGGUUAACAGCCUCGGGAGGUGACGGUACCUCCAAAGGAAGCACCGGCUAACUCUGUGCCAGCCGCCGCGGUAA